rnacentral:rRNA from 1 species
CCCAGACUCCUACGGGAGGCAGCAGUGGGGAAUAUUGCACAAUGGGGGGAACCCUGAUGCAGCGACGCCGCGUGGGUGAAGGAGUACUUCGGUACGUAAAGCCCUAUCAGCAGGAAAGAAAAUGACGGUACCUGACUAAGAAGCCCCGGCUAACUACGUGCCAGCAGCCGCGGUAAUACGUAGGGGGCAAGCGUUAUCCGGAUUUACUGGGUGUAAAGGGAGCGUAGACGGCAGUGCAAGUCCGGAGUGAAAGCCCGGGGCUCAACCCUGGGACUGCUCUGGAAACUGUAAAGCUGGAGUGCGGGAGGGGCAGGCGGAAUUCCUGGUGUAGCGGUGAAAUGCGUAGAUAUCAGGAGGAACACCGGCGGCGAAGGCGGCCUGCUGGACCGUAACUGACGUUGAGGCUCGAAAGCGUGGGGAGCAAACAGGAUUAGAUACCCUUGUAAA